rnacentral:pre_miRNA from 17 species
AACCACACUAUCGAUGAAUGGAUUCACUCGCGAGAUGAUGUGGUUGUUUCACAUAGGACGAGGACAUGGCAUCAUAUUACCAGCCAUCAGACAAAAUUAACAGGAUGCCACGUCCCCAUCCUAGAUGGAACAACCACGUCAUCUCGCGGGUAAAUCCAUUCAUGGAUAGUGUGGUU